CCAAAUGUCCAUGCAUCCCGGUGAUUCCCAAGUAUGACAUAUCUAGAAAAUUUUCAACUGUGUGAGGAAAAUCUAGCAUUAGAAAGUUACUCGAAUUGUUUCAGAGAUGCGUAUUAAUUUGCUGUACAUUGCAUGUUUGAAUUAUUCAAACUUACCUAUCAGCUCUACAGAUUCGACAUUUUGCUGGUUUUUCGAGACUUACAGUAUAACUAAGAUUCAGAAUUGCUGGUCCUGGCCCAACCUUGUAGACAGGAGCAUCUUUCCCUCCCUGCCAAUCGUCAUUUGCCACUUGUCCAUCUAUGGACCUCAGGAUUCUGUCACCAUCAGCCCAUGAAAUAGGCCAGCCAGGUGUAGUGGGAUCACCGGCCCCAUUGUACACGGAUCCCACCUGGACUCCACUUGAAGGCAUCCACUUGUCAUCAGGAAACCAUUUUGCAUCACCUCCUCCACCCAUAGUCCUGUACGCGCCCGUAAUUGGCAUAUACUACAGGUCCAGCUACAGUGGCAGACUUGGCAUAUGCGUGGAACGUCGGUAGGACUUCGUCUGCCACGUCGGCAUGAGGAUCACCGUCGUAAAUGUCUUGGUGGAGAUCGAACUUGACGGGGCUGUCUUGAGGAGUAGGUUUUAGGGUCAAGGAACGUGAGAUGGGGUAAGUCAAGGCAACUUCAUAGGUUGUUAUAUG